UCAAACGGCGAAUAUGAGUCCUUACUCCUUAUCUUUAAGACUGCAGAUCCGAUUGAAUGAAGUACCCUGGGACAGAGCAGCAAAUUAUAUCAAUCUGAAGUUCGGAGGAGAUUCAUGGGAGCUAGCAUUCUUUUUCUUUUAUUUUUUUUCUUUUGGGGGGAGAUUUGGGUUCCUACCUGUCUACAUUAAUAAAGAAUGAUAAUUGAAAUACAGGUAGCAAGGAUUCUCCAAUGUGCACAUCCAAAGUUCGAGGGUCCAUAUCCUUGAAGGCAUUCUAUUACAAUCACAUGGUCUCUAUGAAGCUUUAUUUCUCACCCUUUUCGAUCAGAACACAUGGUUAAGAAGCUGCAAAAAGAAGGAUUAUCAAAACUUGCCACCCUUUUGGAUUGUCAUCUCCAACGCUUUGCCGAAAUUCUCAUUCACGAGAAGUGGGUGGCCUAAGGCACUUCCGAUGUAUUCCCAUUCAAAGUGACACCUGCCAUUGAGAAGGGCAUCUCUUCUUCAACUUCUAAUUUUGAUUAAUUUGGUCUAAGCACACAAUAUUUUCAGCUGGAACCUCUCGUUCUCUAAAUGGGUCCAUCAGGAAAUCCUGUGAAUUGUCGAGCAAAUCUUAUUCUAUAUGAGUGGGGUGGGUGUGUGUGAACGAGUGAGAGAUAGACAAGGGGAUGUUGAUCCUCUGGACUUAGUGUCCUGAAACCUCAGUUGCUGUUACAGGAUACAGAUUUUGUUUUCAAA